UACGUAGGGGGCAAACGUUAUUCGGAAUCACUGGGCUUAAAGAGUCCGUAGGCGGCAUGUUAGGUGAGGUGUGAAAUCCCCCGGCUCAACCGAGGAAUUGCGCUUCAAACCGGCGUGCUAGAGGAAGAUAGAGGUGGGCGGAACUGAUGGUGGAGCGGUGAAAUGCGUUGAUAUCAUCAGGAACACCGGAGGCGAAGGCGGCCCACUGGGUCUUUUCUGACGCUGAGGGACGAAAGCUAGGGGAGCGAACGGG
rnacentral:rRNA from 1 species